AGUGAACGCUGGCGGUAGGCCUAACACAUGCAAGUCGAACGGCAGCACAGUAAGAGCUUGCUCUUACGGGUGGCGAGUGGCGGACGGGUGAGGAAUACAUCGGAAUCUACUUUUUCGUGGGGGAUAACGUAGGGAAACUUACGCUAAUACCGCAUACGACCUACGGGUGAAAGCAGGGGAUCUUCGGACCUUGCGCGAUUGAAUGAGCCGAUGCCGGAUUAGCUAGUUGGCGGGGUAAAGGCCCACCAAGGAGACGAUCCGUAGCUGGUCUGAGAGGAUGCAGAGACACUCGGACAGUGACACGCUCCAGAGUCCUACGGGGGGGGGAAGAGUGGAAUAUUGGGGAAUAGGCGCGAGACUGUGACAGAGAUACCGCGCGGGGGAAGAGAGGGCUCGGGGGUUGAAGCGCUUUUGUGUGGAGAGAAAAGAGGCGGGGUUUAAUCCCGCUGUGUUGACGGUACCCAAAGAGAAAGCGCCGGCUAACUUCGUG
rnacentral:rRNA from 1 species